UACGUAGGGUGCAAGCGUUGUCCGGAAUUAUUGGGCGUAAAGAGCUCGUAGGCGGUUUGUCGCGUCGAAUGUGAAAACCCGGGGCUCAACCCCGGGCCUGCAUUCGAUACGGGCAGACUAGAGUUCGGUAGGGGAGUCUGGAAUUCCUGGUGUAGCGGUGAAAUGCGCAGAUAUCAGGAGGAACACCGGUGGCGAAGGCGGAUCUCUGGGCCAUAACUGACGCUGAGGAGCGAAAGCUGGGGAGCGAACAGGAUUAGACUACCC
rnacentral:rRNA from 1 species